rnacentral:tRNA from 1 species
GCCUCUUUAGCUCAGUGGUAGAGCACUGGUUUUGUAAACCAGUGGUCGUGAGUUCAAUUUUCACAGGAGGCA